rnacentral:lncRNA from 1 species
UUAAAAUGAGAUAGUAAAAUUUAACAUGUAUCAAUGCACUAGAAUCAAUUUGGAUUAUUACUGAAUAAUUAGUGGAUUUGCCAUACACGUCUCAUUGACAGACAAAAAAAAAAUUGGUAAUACUUUAAAAUGAGAUACUAAUAAUUAAUUUCUAACUAAUGAGAUACUAAUAAUCAAUUUCUACAAAAAAUCCAAAUUAAUUUCACUUUUUUUAAUGAGAUUGCACACACAC